AAGGUAACGGCUUACCAAGGCAACGAUGCAUAGCCGACCUGAGAGGGUGAUCGGCCACACUGGAACUGAGACACGGUCCAGACUCCUACGGGAGGCAGCAGUAGGGAAUCUUCCGCAAUGGGCGAAAGCCUGACGGAGCAACGCCGCGUGAGUGAUGAAGGUCUUCGGAUCGUAAAACUCUGUUAUUAGGGAAGAACAUAUGUGUAAGUAACUGUGCACAUCUUGACGGUACCUAAUCAGAAAGCCACGGCUAACUACGUGCCAGCAGCCGCGGUAAUACGUAGGUGGCAAGCGUUAUCCGGAAUUAUUGGGCGUAAAGCGCGCGUAGGCGGUUUUUUAAGU
rnacentral:rRNA from 1 species